UUCGUAAAGUCUCAUCAGCUUUGGCUACUCAUCUGUUACCUCCCUUCACUUUAUUUGAUGACUCUUCGGUCCUGGCAUAUGCUAAAAAAUGUAAUGGAAGUUGAAGUGGCUUCCAUUCUAUGUGAAGAAAACAAACAGAUGCUUGAACCAGAGUCAAAAGAAUGAACCACAGGAAUCUGGGAGCCAGAAAUGCAGCUGGCACAGCACUGAUGCCCUAAGGAGUAAGGCACAAUCUCAUGAAGUGAACUUCAGGACCCCAACCCAGCACAAAAAACUAACAUGCAGUAGUGAUAUCUGGACAUGAACUUGGAGUGCUGGAAGAAUAAACUGGAUUAUACAUAGAAGAAAACAGAAGUUAAGCUCACAAAUGGAUGUGUCAAACAAUAAAAACAUGAAACUCUGA